AUGGGACUCGGAAUUGGUGUGGCCUGCAGGCCGCCCCCAGUCACAGGGACCAGGGGUCCCCACGGGGUCCCCUUUCACCCCAAACGGCUGUCGCCUCCCUGGGUUGCACUCUUUCUCCAGGGAUCUGGGGGGAGAAAACCACUCUUAGGGUCUCUGGGGAGAGAGAGGCCGCAGAGACCCUCCCGCUCCAGCGUCACACCCCCCCACCGCUGUGUCACACACACACACCCCCACCACUCCUGUGUCACAUCCUCUUCCACUCCUCUGUCACACACACCCCCUCCUCCACCCCGUGUCACAUCCCCUUCCACUCCUGUGUCACACACACCCCCUCUUCCACUCCUGUGUCACACACACCCCCUCUUCCACCCCUCUUCCUCUGUGUCACACACACACACAUACCCUCCACUCCUGUGUCACACACACACCCUCCUCCACCCCUUUGUCACACCCCCCACCCCGGUGUCAGACACCCCCUCCUCCACCCAUGUCACAUCCCCUUCCACCCCUGUGUCACACCCCCACCCCGGUGUCACACCCCCCUCCUCCACUCCUGUGCCACAUCCCCUUCCACUCCUGUGUCACAUCCCCUUCCACUCCUGUGUCACACACACACACCCCCUCCACCCCGUGUCACACCCCCACCCCGGUGUCACACACCCCCUCCUCCACCCCUGUGCCACACCCCCACCCCUGUGUCACACACACCCUCCUUCACUCCCGUGUCACACCUGCCCACGCCUGUGUCACACACACACCCCCUCCUCCCCUCCUAUGUCACCCCCUGACUCCUGCCUCACCCCCCCACUCCUGUGUCACAUGCCCCUCCUCCCCUCCUGUGUCACCCCCUGUCUCCUGCCUCACCCGCCCACGCCUGUGUCACACGCCCCCUCCUCCACUCCCGUGUCACACCCGCCCACGCCUGUGUCACACGCCCCCUCCUCCACUCCCGUGUCACACCCGCCCACGCCUGUGUCACACGCCCCCUCCUCCACUCCCGUGUCACACCCGCCCACGCCUGUGUCACACGCCCCCUCCUCCACUCCCGUGCCACACCCGCCCACGCGUGUGUCACACACCCCUCCUCCACUCCCGUGUCACACAGUCCCUGCCUCUGCUCAGUGGUCCCUCCGACCCUUUCUUCCCCUCCGGGGUCCCUGA
rnacentral:lncRNA from 1 species